GAUGAACGCUGGCGGCGUGCCUAAUACAUGCAAGUCGAGCGAAUGGAUUAAGAGCUUGCUCUUAUGAAGUUAGCGGCGGACGGGUGAGUAACACGUGGGUAACCUGCCCAUAAGACUGGGAUAACUCCGGGAAACCGGGGCUAAUACCGGAUAACAUUUUGAACCGCAUGGUCCUAAAUUGAAAGGCGGCUUCGGCUGUCACUUAUGGAUGGACCCGGGUCGCAUUAGCUAGUUGGUGAGGUAACGGCUCACCAAGGCAACGUUGCGUAGCCGGCGUGAGAGGGUGAUCGGCCACACUGGGACUGAGACACGGCCCAGACUCCUACGGGAGGCAGCAGUAGGGAAUCUUCCGCAAUGGACGAAAGUCUGACGGAGCAACGCCGCGUGGGUGAUGAAGGCUUUCGGGUCGUAAAACUCUGUUGUUAGGGAAGAACAAGUGCUAGUUGAAGAAGCUGGCACCUUGACGGUACCUAACCAGAAAGCCACGGCUAACUACGUGCCAGCCGCCGCGGUAA
rnacentral:rRNA from 1 species